rnacentral:rRNA from 1 species
GCGGUAACACCAGCUCCCCGAGUGGUGGGGAUGAUUAUUUGGCCUAAAGCGUCCGUAGCCGGCUAAGUAAAUUUCUCGUUAAAUCCAACGUCCUAAGCGUUGGGCUGCGAGAAAGACUGCUCAGCUAGAGGGUGGGAGAGGUCAGCGGUAUUCCUGGGGUAGGGGCGAAAUCCAUUGAUCCCAG